GCCUCGUGUGAGGAUUGAACUCACGACCCCUGGUUUACGAGACCAGUGCUCUACCACUGAGCUAACGAGGCG
rnacentral:tRNA from 1 species